GGCGGCGUGCCUAACACAUGCAAGUCGAACGGAGAAUACAUUUUGAAGCAAUUAGCUUGCUAAGAGUGGAAAUGUUGUAUUCUUAGUGGCGGACGGGUGAGUAACGCGUGGAUAACCUGCCUCACACUGGGGGAUAACAGCUAGAAAUGGCUGCUAAUACCGCAUAAGCGCACAGCAUCGCAUGAUGUGGUGUGAAAAGCGUCAGUGGUGUGAGAUGGAUCCGCGUCUGAUUAGCUAGUUGGUAGGGUAAGAGCCUACCAAGGCGACGAUCAGUAGCCGGCCUGAGAGGGUGAACGGCCACAUUGGGACUGAGACACGGCCCAAACUCCUACGGGAGGCAGCAGUGGGGGAUAUUGCACAAUGGGGGAAACCCUGAUGCAGCGACGCCGCGUGAGUGAAGAAGUAUUUCGGUAUGUAAAGCUCUAUCAGCAGGGAAGAAAAUGACGGUACCUGACUAAGAAGCCCCGGCUAACUACGUG
rnacentral:rRNA from 1 species